rnacentral:rRNA from 1 species
UAGGGAAUCUUCGGCAAUGGGGGAAACCCUGAUGCAGCGACGCCGCGUGAUUUAGAAGGCCUUCGGGUUGUAAAAAUCUUUUCUAUGGGAAGAAAAUGACAGUACCAUAGGAAUAAGGACCGGCUAAUUACGUGCCAGCAGCCGCGGUAAUACGUAAGGUCCGAGCGUUGUCCGGAAUCAUUGGGCGUAAAGGGUACGUAGGCGGGUAAGCAAGUUAGAAGUGAAAUCCUGUAGCUCAACUACAGUAAGCUUUUAAAACUGCUCAUCUUGAGAUAUGGAAGGGAAAGUGGAAUUCCUAGUGUAGCGGUGAAAUGCGCAGAUAUUAGGAGGAAUACCGGUGGCGAAGGCGACUUUCUGGCCAUAAUCUGACGCUGAGGUACGAAAGCGUGGGUAGCAAACAGG